rnacentral:rRNA from 1 species
UACAGAGGUCCCGAGCGUUGUUCGGAUUCACUGGGCGUAAAGGGUGCGUAGGUGGCUUGAAAAGUUUGAUGUGAAAGCUCAGGGCUUAACCCUGAAAUGGCAUUGAAUACUGUCGAGCUGGAGGUUUGGAGGGGGGGACUGGAAUUCUUGGUGUAGCAGUGAAAUGCGUAGAUAUCAAGAGGAACACCAGUGGCGAAGGCGAGUCCCUGGACAACACCUGACACUGAGGCACGAAAGCUAGGGGGAGCAAACAGG